rnacentral:rRNA from 1 species
GACGAACGCUGGCGGCGUGCUUAACACAUGCAAGUCGUACGGUAAGGCCCUUUCGGGGGUACACGAGUGGCGAACGGGUGAGUAACACGUGAGUAACCUGCCCACAACUUUGGGAUAACGCUAGGAAACUGGUGCUAAUACUGGAUAUGUGCCCCUGCUGCAUGGUGGGGGUUGGAAAGCUCCGGCGGUUGUGGAUGGACUCGCGGCCUAUCAGCUUGUUGGUGGGGUAGUGGCCUACCAAGGCGGCGACGGGUAGCCGGCCUGAGAGGGUGACCGGCCACAUUGGGACUGAGAUACGGCCCAGACUCCUACGGGAGGCAGCAGUGGGGAAUAUUGCACAAUGGGCGCAAGCCUGAUGCAGCAACGCCGCGUGCGGGAUGACGGCCUUCGGGUUGUAAACCGCUUUCAGCAGGGGCGAAGCUUUUUGUGACGGUACCUGCAGAAGAAGCACCGGCUAACUACGUG